UUCCGAGCCGUCUGGGAGCCGAUUCAUUUGCAAAAAGCCCCCCGCGACGGCCUGGAGACGGCUUCAUCGUCGCCUCGCGAGGCGACGAUCCCAGCUCGUGCUCCCAGGCGAAAAAGGCGACUCCAGCACCGUUGUGCGGCUCACCGACGAACCCCUGCGUCGCUCCCUCGAUCCGCUGCGGCCCCUCCGUGCGGGAAGAUGGUGCCCCUCCUCUGCCUCCAACCCACGAGCCGGCGGCGCCCUUCCUCGAAACCAAUGAGUAGCGGCGGCGGCGCGUUGCUAGAUGCGGCGGCAGUGCCGGAUGGAAGGCCGCGGCCGUGUAGGAGCAGGAAAGGUGCGGCCAUGACACGGAAGCGCGGCGGCGGCUAGCGUAGGGACUCGAUCUGCAGCUAGCCAUGGCCUGAUGGUGGCGGCUAGCUCGGGGCCUCGAUUUGCCUUUGGCGAUGCCCCUGAUGGUGGCGUCCUCAAGAUUCAGAUGUAGCAGGAUGUUUGGUCGGGCAAGCUGUUUACCAAUUUGAUCAUCAACGGUUUCUCAUGGCGAUCAUCAACGGUUUCUCAUGACAGAGGUUCUGAUUUGAAGGCACAUGCAGGCUGGUCUACUGCAGAUGAGCAACUGAAUAAACAACAGACCUACAAGGUUCAAUCGUUCAGUUCAAAGCAGCAAUGGCAGACUUUGAUUUUAAGGUUUGCAAUUUGUUUUCAACAGUUUGAUUCAGAGUACACAGGGAGCAAAGUGUUGGGAGCUGGAUCACAACACUGCCAUCCUCCAGGUGAUGGUUUCCUCCUCACUUUAGGAUAUGUUUGGAGCGAAGGAAUGGAAAAUAGAGGAACAAAGGAAAACGCAGGAAUAGAGUUUGUAUGCAAUGGCAAAACAGAGACAAGGAAAACAUGAAGAAAACAUAAGAAUUGGUGUUUGGAACGCAGGAAUAAGAUCGCAUGAAACCAGAGUUACAGGUGGGUCGCACAAGUGGAGGAAAAAAACAGCCACGCACUUAUCACCAUGUGCAUCUCUUAACUACCUAGAUGCUGACAUAUGGACCCAAGCUGAGAUCAUCGUCAAAGUCUACAUAUCUCUCUCUCGUCCGACUUGUCCACUCAUUCUCAUCCCUUCCGGCUGGCUCUUCAUUCAUUCUUCACUUCUCUCUCGUUCUCAUCUAAUCAAUCCAGGGGAGAAGCAAAGCAAACUUGAGCGGAUCUGGAUCACCGAGCAGCUAAUCUUGAGCGGAGCGACCGAGCAGAGCAGGGUAGCAAGAGCGGCAAGCUAGCGGUGGUUGGCGGCUGCCCACGGGACAACGACGGUGUCAGUCCAGACCUGAAGCUUUGGGUCAGAACAUGUUCUUCUUCAGCGGCUCAACACAGCUCGAUUUUGUUCUCAUCUUCAUGCGUGUGCAGCAUGCGAAGGGAAGAAAACAACGGAUUGAAGUGGAUAUUUUAUUUCCUGUGAAAUGGCUAGGCUGCUUCAGGAUUCCAAAGGAAAGUAAUGGAGGAUUCCUCCGUUCCAAACGCUCUGAGUAACUUCCUUUCCUCCGUUUUAGAUUCCUACACUUUUCCUAUAAAAUUCCUCCAAUCCAGACAGGGCCUUAGGACGCCAUCUCAAGUUUCACCAUCCUGCUGCCGCCUUCCUGCAAAAUUAAAGUUUACAGCGAGCGCACCCUCUACUUAGCACUUGUCUGCCUACUGUUUAGGAGUUAUUUUUCUCCAUCCACUUAGUAUUAACCUGCUAGUCUUCUAAUCUCUGACAGUACUUGCUAAGAACAACCUGAUUAGGAUGAGCAUUCAUACAGUAGGAUGUGCUAAAAGAUCUUUUAGUACAACCAAAUGAAUUAUUAAAUUCAUAGCUACCUGCCAAAUCUUGUUAAUGAAAAUAUUACCUGCCAAUACUGAUUACACACAACUGUCUCAUGGUGAUACUCAAUUGUUUGAUGAUUGGAAUAUUGCUGGUGUUAGUUACCUGUCGUAGUAAAUCAGCUUGUUCUACCAUUGUGCUUCCCUGGUCCAUCUCGAUUUUGUUCUUCUAGAACUUUAAGCAAGAAUCUAGUUGAGUAGUAAAAGCCACCAUGACACUUAAUAUUUGAGAACUUAACGUGUAUCUACUCUUGCCCACCUUAUGUUUGUAUGAUAUAACAUAUGCUUGUACUUGCAGUCCAUGCUAUAUGAAUGUUUGUGAUACCUAUAUACAUAGCAUUUUAGUAAUUUCUAUCACAAAUACUGCUCUUUGACAAGUAGUUGGCAACGUGCUCUUUCAGGUCGAGGAUUAGAUGCAUCAAGGAGCAAGCCAUUAGAAGUGAUUGGAUCAGCAAGCAGUUGACCUGAUAUGCUAUGCUGGACUGCUAGUGAUGCUAGAUGAAUAAAUAUAUUUGAUCUGUUAUUUUGAUGCGAUUCUGAAUGGGAACAUAUGUGAUGAUGUUAUUUGUGGGCUGGAAUUGCUUACUGUUAAUUUUGUGAUGUAAUUAUUGCUAUUAAUUGGCUGGAAUGGCUUAUUGUUGAACGAAUUGGGCUGGAAAAUGGUUGAAAUUUGGUGGGCUGAUUUUAUUUGA